CUAAGACCAUGUUUAUCAAAAUUCGGCCUAACGUCCAAAGUGAAUAAUUUUUUGUUAGAAAUAUUCUCUAACAUGUUCUUUUCCUAUAAUGUACUGGUUUUUAUAUGUAGAGUUGGUGAAAGAACACUAUUUUUAGGUUUACAUUACUAGUAUAAAUCCUAUAAUUUGCUCUACUUUUUAAGAUUGCGUCAUACAACGUCGCUAUAUAUUAUUAGAAGUGGUAACGUAUUGUAAAACAUAAUUAUGCAAUGAGUGGUUUAAUAUAUAAUAAGAUCUUGAAAAAGAAAUUUUCUUUCCCAAUACGCAAUAAGGUUAUUUUACUUAUAGCCCGAAUGGCACACCAUAUUUUUCAAUCCUUCAUUCGGCCAUUUUCACACGCCGCGCCAUUAGCCUGUUUGCGCUGUUCGUGGAAGUUGCAGAGGAUGUACUCAUCGCAUUUCAACGAUGAUAUAAUAUGUCCAGCAAAAAUUGAUGGCAAGGGUGACAUGAAUCAGAUUGACAAGAAUCCAUAUUCCUACUCCUCAAUAAUGCUAUCAUCACUGCCAUCAGAUUCAUCAAUGAUAGUGGCAUCAGUGACACAUGCAGAUAAGUGUUGGACAUCACUGCAGGAAUAGCUUCCUUGUUGUGCCUGCUAAUAGCAAGGUACCAGAUUAUACAGCAGUUAUGUGGAAACAGAUUCCCACAAUAGGGGGACCAGAUUGACACCUACAUUGUACAGUAUCAGGCAGUUAUAUCAGAACUGGAAAAACUGGAUCCAAACAAGACUAUAUUUCUUGGAAGAAACAUGUCGACUCUGAAGUUUAAACCUUAUUAACCCAUGACACUUCCAGAGACAUCCUGAUACUAUGGUUCUAUGUCAUUUGAAAUAUACCUGUGGAGGUUUUUAAAGUGUUUUUUUUUGGGGGGGGGGGGUUAUUAAUUGGAAGAAUUCAUAUUUGAUGAUUCAAAUGAAAAUCUGCAUGUUGAAUUAUGAAUGUCAUAAUGUACUUUUUGAAUGAGUUCAAGAAUGGUUGUCCUGAUGAAAAGUGCAGAGUCAAAAGUUAACAAAUUGUCAAAAACACUGGUCCGGUCUGAAUUCAUCAUCUUGGACACCUUGCAGUUGGAAUUAUGAUCUCUAUGAAGAAAUGCUGAAAAUCUUGCAAAAGAGGAAAUGAUAAGUUGGGGUCCAAGGCACUUGCAUAUAUAUGCAUGAGAAGGUGUUUUAUCUAGGCUUGAGGUCAAUUACAUAGCAAUGUAACACCUUACAUUACCUAGAAAAUUUCACAUUACCAUUACUCCUAUUUUGAAAUAUAAUGUAUUACAUUACUUGAGAGUGAAUUUACAUUACACAUUUACAUAACAGAUAUUAAAGAAAUGGCAGAAAAAUUAUUUCUGUAUUAUGAUUUUUAAUUAUACAUUAACAUAAGUACACUAAAUAUUCAGCAAUGUUAGGAAACAUAUCUAUUAAGUUAUUCAUUGCAUUUGAUUGUCAUCAAUGUUUCAAAUGCUUCAGUCAAUCACCAAUAUAAUGAAUUAUUCUAAAUCUGCAAAAUAUCAUCAAAUAUUUGAAGUAGUGUAAAUGUAAUGGAAAAUAAUGUGCAGUACAGUAUGCAUUACAUUACAUGUACCAUUACUUGUAAUACAAAAAUGGUCCAUUACAUUGUACACCCCCAUUACAUUGAAACUGGCUGUCAUUUAAUUACCAUUACCCCAGGCCUGGUUCUGUCGAGAGGUAUUGAAAUUGUCUGUAGAGACUUUGUCUCAGGAAGUGGCCGAGAUUGAUUGUGACAAUUUUGUUGGAUGUGAAUUUACUGACACACAUGUCUACACUUGCUACACAAUAUAUCAUGUGGUGGUUUCAACAAGAAAGUUCUUACUCUGCAGGAAAUGACGAAUAGCUAAUGGAUUCACAUUUUUUCUGACUUUUCUUCUGUACAUUAGAUGCAUUGGAAAAACUUUCCUUUCCAUUAUCUUUUGCUGGUUCAUACUUUGAAAUAAAAUCAAGUCCGAAAAUAAA